GGGGCAUCAGGAAGAAAGCUUGCUUUCUUUGCUGGCGACCGGCGCACGGGUGAGUAACACGUAUCCAACCUGCCCUUUACUCGGGGAUAGCCUUUCGAAAGAAAGAUUAAUACCCGAUGGGAUAAUUAUUCCGCAUGGUUUGAUUAUUAAAGGAUUCCGGUAAAGGAUGGGGAUGCGUUCCAUUAGGUUGUUGGUGAGGUAACGGCUCACCAAGCCUUCGAUGGAUAGGGGUUCUGAGAGGAAGGUCCCCCACAUUGGAACUGAGACACGGUCCAAACUCCUACGGGAGGCAGCAGUGAGGAAUAUUGGUCAAUGGGCGCUAGCCUGAACCAGCCAAGUAGCGUGAAGGAUGAAGGCUCUAUGGGUCGUAAACUUCUUUUAUAUAAGAAUAAAGUGCAGUAUGUAUACUGUUUUGUAUGUAUUAUAUGAAUAAGGAUCGGCUAACUCCGUGCCAGCAGCCGCGGUAAUACGGAGGAUCCGAGCGUUAUCCGGAUUUAUUGGGUUUAAAGGGAGCGUAGGUGGACUGGUAAGUCAGUUGUGAAAGUUUGCGGCUCAACCGUAAAAUUGCAGUUGAUACUGUCAGUCUUGAGUACAGUAGAGGUGGGCGGAAUUCGUGGUGUGGCGGUGAAAUGCUUAGAUAUCACGAAGAACUCCGAUUGCGAAGGCA
rnacentral:rRNA from 1 species